AUGAACGCUAGCUACAGGCUUAACACAUGCAAGUCGAGGGGCAGCAUGAGACGGAGAUUCGUCGAAGUCUUGAUGGCGACCGGCGCAAGGGUGCGUAACGCGUGAGCAACUUGCCCGUUUCUGGGGAAUAACCGGUGGAAACGCCGACUAAUACCCCAUAGUAUCAGAUUGAGGCAUCUUUAUCUGAUUAAAGAACUUCGGAAACGGAUAGGCUCGCGUGACAUUAGCUAGAUGGCGGGGUAACGGCCCACCAUGGCAACGAUGUCUAGGGGUUCUGAGAGGAAGGUCCCCCACACUGGAACUGAGACACGGUCCAGACUCCUACGGGAGGCAGCAGUGAGGAAUAUUGGUCAAUGGUCUGACGACUGAACCAGCCAUGCCGCGUGAAGGUCACGGCCCUAUGGGUCUUAAACUUCUUUUGCGAGGGAGCAAUAAGGUCUACGCGUAGGCCGAUGAGAGUACCUCGCGAAUAAGCAUCGGCUAACUCCGUG
rnacentral:rRNA from 1 species